rnacentral:lncRNA from 1 species
AAAUAAUUAUAGAUUUACAAGCAAUUGCAAAACCAGUAUGGAGAAGUCCCAAGAACCCAGUUUUCUCUGAUGGUUGCAUCUUACAUAACUAUAGGAGAGAUCCUCCAGCUGCAGUUCCUUCUAGCCAAAGACCCACCGAGAACGCACCUCUAGCUGAGUAAAUUGCAUUUAUUACUCACUGCAGUGAGGGAGAGCACACACCAUGGGGCAUCUCGGUAAGAGAUGUGUUAGGUGUUAGGAGUGUGUUAGGAAGAACCUAGUGUAGAAUUUGGGUUUUGGUUGGGUGAUUUGGGGGAGGUUGAAGGGAGUAGGUUUCACACUAGAUGAAUUGCGUCUGCUGUCAGAAGGCAGAAGCAAGUCUGUAAUUGCGCAGCUUGAGUCCUAUCACUAGGAAGAGGAGACUAGCGUUGGGGGCUAAAGCUAUGAUUGGUGAAGCAGCAGCAGUCACUGAUUUCAGCCAAGAGAGGGUGAUGGUCGGUAUUUUGUGGGUGGCACCGUGACCUUGUCUUUAUGGGUUACUUAAAAAUUGUGAAGUGACCUUGUUUUGUCUCACUUUAUCAUAGCCUCAGAGUAACCUUGUCUGAGGUUGUAUCGUGUGUGAUUAUGUCUAAAUGGAGAAUAACAUGGCAUAGCUGUGCAUGCCAAGCCAGCUUCCCGAUGUCAGGGGCUUUUAUUUCUGAUCUUUCAUGGACAUUGGUACCAUGCAUACGUAUAGUUCUCUGCCAUUUCAUCAUGUAUGUAGAUUUGAGUAACUACCACUGCAGUCAUCAUCCACCACGAAGACUUCGCUCGUGCGGCCCCUUUAACAUCAUAUCCACCUGCCUACCCUAACCCCACCAUCCCUAACGCCUGGCAACCACUAAUCCGUUUUCCAUCUCUAUUGCUUUAUUCCUUUGAGAAUGCCGUGUACACGGAAUCACACACAAUGUAACCUUUUGAUACUGACUUUCCUUGCUCAGCAUAAUGCCCAGGAGAUCCAUCCAAGAUGUCCUGUGUAUCAAUAGUGUGUUUCUUUUUUAGGGCUAAGUAGUGUUCCAUAGUGUGUGUAUUCGUUUUCUAUGACUGCUGUAACGAGUUAAAACUUAGUGGCUUAAACAACACAGGUUUUUAAUCUUACAGCUCUGUAAGUCAGAACUCUGGCAUGGAUCUUGCCAGACCAAAAUCAAGGUGUCAGUAGGCUGCGUUCUUUUCCAAAGGCUGUAGGGAAAAACCCAUUUUAUUGCUAAUUCCUUGCUAGGGGAAUUCAAUUCCAAGUGGUUGUAAGACUAAGGUUUCUGUUUUCUUGCUGGCUAUCAGCUGAGGGCUGUUCCCAGUUUCUAGAUCGAGGCCACCCACAUUCCUUGGCUUGUGACCACCUCUGUCUAUGUCAAAGCUGGCAACAGCAGAUGGAAUUCCUCUCAGGCUUAGAGUUUCUCCUGCCUCUUUCCUAAUCACAUUUCUCUGACUCACCUUCUUGCUUCCCUCUUCCACAUUUAAGAAUGCAUAUCAUUUGGCCAG